GACGAACCGUGCGAACGUUGUUCGGAAUCACUGGGCUUAAAGGGCGCGUAGGCGGGCUGGUCGGUCAGGGGUGAAAUCCUCCGGCUCAACCCGGAGAACAGCCUUUGAUACCGCCAGUCUCGAGGGAGGUAGGGGCAUGUGGAACUUCCCGGUGGAGCGGUGAAAUGCGUAGGUAUCGGAAGGAACGCCGGUGGCGAAAGCGACGCACUGGACCCUCUUCUGACGCUGAGGCGCGAAAAGCAUGGGGUAGCGAACAGG
rnacentral:rRNA from 1 species